rnacentral:rRNA from 1 species
UUUGAUCCUGGCUCAGGAUGAACGCUAGCGGCAGGCCUAACACAUGCAAGUCGAGGGGUAUAGUUCUUCGGAACUAGAGACCGGCGCACGGGUGCGUAACGCGUAUGCAAUCUACCUUGUACAGGGGAAUAGCCCAGAGAAAUUUGGAUUAAUGCCCCAUGGUAUAAUUGAAUGGCAUCAUUUGAUUAUUAAAGUUCCAACGGUACAAGAUGAGCAUGCGUCCCAUUAGUUAGUUGGUAAGGUAACGGCUUACCAAGACAAUGAUGGGUAGGGGUCCUGAGAGGGAGAUCCCCCACACUGGUACUGAGACACGGACCAGACUCCUACGGGAGGCAGCAGUGAGGAAUAUUGGUCAAUGGACGCAAGUCUGAACCAGCCAUGCCGCGUGCAGGAAGAAGCAUCUAUGGUGUGUAAACUGCUUUUAUACAGGAAGAAACAACGCUACGUGUAGCGUCUUGACGGUACUGUAAGAAUAAGGACCGGCUAACUCCGUG